GUUUUCGCCUAUGGUGUUUUCGAAAUGGAUGAGCUUCAAUUACCACAACAACACGACGCAACAAAAUCAACAGGGCCAUACUAUAUUUGUUUUAAUUUAGAAACUGCUUUGGAAGCACUGGAACUUAAAGAAGCAGCGUGCUUUGGUGUUUGUAGUGGUAACGGCCAGUCAGAAAAUAAUAACAACCCCGUUGUUUAGUGGCUGUUAUUUUAGGUGUCAUAUAUUGGGGCUUCACUUUAACAAAAAAUACUAUCAAAGAACGAAAAACCUACAGGGUGUGCCCUGUGAGCUCUACUGUAUAUAUCUGGAGCAAGAACCUCGGUCAUUAAUAUGAUUUGAUUUAUUGAUUUGUUUACCACAAUACAAAUAAGCAAUAGUUGUUUUGAACAAAAGUGGUGAGGAAGCCCAAAUAGAAACCACAAGGCUUAUAAGGAUUUGGGCUACCUCAUGUUAUGUUAUAUUUAAUGGGCAAUGCUCCCCACAAAUUUAGUCUAAUUUAUAUGACAAUGGAUUUGAAUAUUUUUCUUGCGGUACAAAGGUCACAGACCCACAGCUGUCAUUUGUACUAAAAUAUACCCUUCUGGCAUGUGCUCUGCGGACCUUUACCCCCACGGCAGCCCUAAGGACCAUUACCAUAGGGUUAUCAGAGCGGGCCGUAUAUAUACCCCGCAGGACGAAAUAUAAGGCCAUAAAAAGUAUAGUGGGUUAAAUAUACAUAUAUAAUGUGACACUUAUAAUUGUAACAGGAGUACUUUACCCCCAUAACCCAUUCUCCCACACAAAAGCUGUCUGUGUCUACUCUUAAUUCUUAGCUCAGUUAGCUGGCUGGAGAGCAAUUGUUCCAUUAACUAAUUUAUAUAUAUUAUAAAUUUAAGUAAAUACAAAUGUUACAAAAAAAGUAUCACGUGAUGUAUUUGAAAUAAAUAAAUUAUUGAGAUUAUAUGUAGUGAGAAAAGAGAAACAAUUUUAACAUAUACUGAAAUCUAAAUACAGAUGAAGAGUUACGUAUAUCGGGAUUCAACGUAUUAAAGAAUUUACUGUAGGACCCUGAUAAUUGACCGAAAACUGACGAAUAUUUGUCCUACAUUGGAGAUAUUAUAAUUAUGAAUCUGACGAACGUAUGAAAAUAGACCUUCAAAACAAUCAGGAAGUAAUUUUUGUUGAUAUAGAUACAUAAAUUU